rnacentral:rRNA from 1 species
UCGCCUGUUUAUCAAAAACAUUGCCUCCUGAAAAUUAUAGAAGGUACAUCCUGCCCGGUGACCCAAGGGUUUAACGGCCGCGGUACUCUGACCGUGCUAAGGUAGCGUGAUAAUUCGCCCUUUAAUUGUGGGCUUGUAUGAACGGACAAACGAGAGCCAAACUGUCUCUCAGGUAUUUAUAAAAAUUGGCCUUCAGGUGAAAAGACCUGGAUUAAAUCAUAGGACAAGAAGACCCCGUAGAGCUUGGUCUCUCUAUAUUAUAGAGAAAAGUAUUAUACCUAUUCCCUAUAUUUAAACGAGAGACUCAGCUGGGGCGGCUGAGGAAAAUUUUAAUCUUCCAUCUUAAACACAUCUUUAAAUAGAGCAAUAAGGCAUCCCGCCUAACCUAAACUGACCCUUCAGGAUCAGAGAAAAUAGCUACCUCGGGGAUAACAGAUUAAUCCUUCUUGAGAGUUCUUAUUGACAGAAGGGCUUGACACCUCGAUGUUGGCUUAGGGUAUCCUGGGGGUUGCAGAAGCUUCCAAGGGUAGGUUUGUUCAACCUUUAAAACCCCUACGUGAUCUGAUCUGAGUUCAGACCGG